rnacentral:rRNA from 1 species
AUACGGAGGGUGCAAGCGUUGUGCGGAUUUAUUGGGCGUAAAGCGCGCGCAGGCGGAUAAUCAAGUCAGAUGUGAAAUCCCGGGGCUCAACCUCGGAACUGCGUCUGAAACUGUUAAUCUAGAGUCUCACAGGGGGUAGGGGAAUUUCACGUGUAGGGGUAAAAUCCGUAGAGAUGUGAAGGAACACCGGUGGCGAAGGCGCCUACCUGGAUGAGUACUGACGCUGAGGCGCGAAAGCGUGGGGAGCGAACAGGAUUAGAAACCCUAGUAGUCCC